UUGGCGGUCCGAACGUUCUUGCCUGCUCCCCGCCCGCCCCCCCCGCUCUCGGAGGCGGCGCGCGCAGCCAUGGCGGUCAAGAUCAAGGUGGUUUACUGUGGAGCCUGAGGCUACAAACCCAAGUUUCAACAGCUCAGAAAGGAACUCGAAAAAGAGUUUCCGGGCAAGCUGGAAAUUAGCGGAGAAGGGACUCCACAGGUCACGGGAUGGUUUGAAGUGAUGGUAGCCGGCAAGGUGGUGCACUCCAAAAAGAACGGAGAUGGCUUUGUGGACGACGAUGCCAAACUCAACAAGAUAAUUAAGGCCAUCAAAAUAGCUUUGGCAUGAGGACGACUUUAAGCGUGGGCUAGCAGCUCAGAAUGCAACAGAGUUCAAGAAAAAUCUGUUUUGCUCAUCUUGGCAAAUCGCUCGAUGACGGGAGCUGCUGAAAUGUUGUCUGACACCUGGCAGUUCCCUGAAAACUUUGCGCUGGAUGCCAACUUGAUCAAGGCCAGAUGGAAGAACUUGUGCUCUAAGUCAGUGUUUGGGUGUAAAUUAAAAAUUAAGCCUGCAACUCCUAACA